AUUCCGUGAUGACGGCACUUCCGUAAUAAUUCUAUGUACCUUUCCCAUGCCUCAUACAAUGACUCAUCAUCCAUUUGUUGGAAAGCAGAGAUCUCGUUCCUCAACUU
rfam:Gossypium raimondii chromosome 3, whole genome shotgun sequence.